UCUCGGUUUGCACCGGCAGUCUCGUUAGAGUUCCCGACAUGACUCGCUGGCAACUAACGACAGGGGUUGCGCUCGUUAUAGGACUUAACCUGACACCUCACGGCACGAGCUGACGACAACCAUGCAGCACCUUGUAAAUUGUCCGAAGAAAAAUCUGUUUCCAAACCUGUCAAUCUACAUUUAAGCCCUGGUAAGGUUCCUCGCGUAUCAUCGAAUUAAACCACAUGCUCCACCGCUUGUGCGGGCCCCCGUCAAUUCCUUUGAGUUUCAGGCUUGCGCCCGUACUCCCCAGGUGGGAUACUUAUCACUUUCGCUUAGCCACUCAGUCCGAAAACCAAACAGCUAGUAUCCAUCGUUUACGGCGUGGACUAC
rnacentral:misc_RNA from 1 species